UCCAGAGUAGCUCAAUGGUAGAGCACGCGGCUGUUAACCGUGGGGUUGAAGGUUCGAGUCCUUCCUCUGGAGCCA
rnacentral:tRNA from 1 species